AGGAAUCUGCCUAUUAGUGGGGGACAACAUUUCGAAAGGAAUGCUAAUACCGCAUACGUCCUACGGGAGAAAGCGGGGGAUCUUCGGACCUUGCGCUAAUAGAUGAGCCUAAGUCGGAUUAGCUAGUUGGUGGGGUAAAGGCCUACCAAGGCGACGAUCUGUAGCGGGUCUGAGAGGAUGAUCCGCCACACUGGGACUGAGACACGGCCCAGACUCCUACGGGAGGCAGCAGUGGGGAAUAUUGGACAAUGGGCGGAAGCCUGAUCCAGCCAUGCCGCGUGUGUGAAGAAGGCCUUAUGGUUGUAAAGCACUUUAAGCGGGGAGGAGGCUACUUUAGUUAAUACCUAGAGAUAGUGGACGUUACUCGCAGAAUAAGCACCGGCUAACUCUGUGCCAGCAGCCGCGGUAAUACAGAGGGUGCAAGCGUUAAUCGGAUUUACUGGGCGUAAAGCGCGCGUAGGCGGCUAAUUAAGUCAAAUGUGAAACCCCCGAGCUUAACUUGGGAAUUGCAUUCGAUACUGGUUAGCUAGAGUGUGGGAGAGGAUGGUAGAAUUCCAGGU
rnacentral:rRNA from 1 species